GGGGUCCAAACAUCUCCAACUAUCGGCCUAUGUUCCUACUUUGUUGAAACAAGAAACAGAAAAUCCAUAAAAUUUCAAGCUCUAAACCAUUGAUAGGAAGAGAAGAAGCCCAGCUUCAAACACUUGAAGGGUUUUUAGAAUGGGCAGAGAAGCUUGGCAUUUCAGAUUCACCUGGCACUAGCAGUUUCGUUUCACAAAAAUCAAGGUCUUGAUUGGGCAAUUCCCUCCGUCUCUCUU
rnacentral:misc_RNA from 1 species